rnacentral:rRNA from 1 species
CCUACGGGUGGCAGCAGUGGGGAAUAUUGGACAAUGGGCGAAAGCCUGAUCCAGCCAUGCCGCGUGUGUGAAGAAGGCCUUCGGGUUGUAAAGCACUUUCAGUGGGGAAGAAAGCCUUGGGGCUAAUACCCUCGAGGAAGGACAUCACCCACAGAAGAAGCUCCGGCUAACUCCGUGCCAGCAGCCGCGGUAAUACGGAGGGUGCGAGCGUUAAUCGGAAUUACUGGGCGUAAAGCGCGCGUAGGCGGUCUGAUAAGCCGGUUGUGAAAGCCCCGGGCUCAACCUGGGAACGGCAUCCGGAACUGUCAGGCUAGAGUGCAGGAGAGGAAGGUAGAAUUCCCGGUGUAGCGGUGAAAUGCGUAGAGAUCGGGAGGAAUACCAGUGGCGAAGGCGGCCUUCUGGACUGACACUGACGCUGAGGUGCGAAAGCGUGGGUAGCAAACAGGAUUAGAUACCCUAGUAGUC